GGGUUGUGAGGUUAAGCGACUAAGCGUACACGGUGGAUGCCCUGGCAGUCAGAGGCGAUGAAGGACGUGCUAAUCUGCGAUAAGCGCCGGUAAGGUGAUAUGAACCGUUAUAACCGGCGAUUUCCGAAUGGGGAAACCCAGUGUGACUCGUCACACUAUCAUUAACUGAAUCCAUAGGUUAAUGAGGCGAACCGGGGGAACUGAAACAUCUAAGUACCCCGAGGAAAAGAAAUCAACCGAGAUUCCCCCAGUAGCGGCGAGCGAACGGGGAGGAGCCCAGAGCCUGAAUCAGCAUGUGUGUUAGUGGAAGCGUCUGGAAAGGCGCGCGAUACAGGGUGACAGCCCCGUACACAAAAGCGCAUGUGCUGUGAGCUCGAUGAGUAGGGCGGGACACGUGGUAUCCUGUCUGAAUAUGGGGGGACCAUCCUCCAAGGCUAAAUACUCCUGACUGACCGAUAGUGAACCAGUACCGUGAGGGAAAGGCGAAAAGAACCCCGGCGAGGGGAGUGAAAAAGAACCUGAAACCGUGUACGUACAAGCAGUGGGAGCACAGGUUUACCUGUGUGACUGCGUACCUUUUGUAUAAUGGGUCAGCGACUUAUAUUCUGUAGCAAGGUUAACCGAAUAGGGGAGCCGGAGGGAAACCGAGUCUUAAUUGGGCGUUAAGUUGCAGGGUAUAGACCCGAAACCCGGUGAUCUAGCCAUGGGCAGGUUGAAGGUUGGGUAACACUAACUGGAGGACCGAACCGACUAAUGUUGAAAAAUUAGCGGAUGACCUGUGGCUGGGGGUGAAAGGCCAAUCAAACCGGGAGAUAGCUGGUUCUCCCCGAAAGCUAUUUAGGUAGCGCCUCGUGAACUCAUCUCCGGGGGUAGAGCACUGUUUCGGCUAGGGGGCCAUCCCGGCUUACCAACCCGAUGCAAACUGCGAAUACCGGAGAAUGUUAUCACGGGAGACACACGGCGGGUGCUAACGUCCGUCGUGAAGAGGGAAACAACCCAGACCGCCAGCUAAGGUCCCAAAGUCAUGGUUAAGUGGGAAACGAUGUGGGAAGGCCCAGACAGCCAGGAUGUUGGCUUAGAAGCAGCCAUCAUUUAAAGAAAGCGUAAUAGCUCACUGGUCGAGUCGGCCUGCGCGGAAGAUGUAACGGGGCUAAACCAUGCACCGAAGCUGCGGCAGCGAACGUAUCACUUAAAGCGAUUCAGCGGGUUACGAUUGACGGAGCGAAGCGACGUCAAAGCGUAUACAAAGUCGAGUCGGUUUAAGGAUACGUUCGUUGGGUAGGGGAGCGUUCUGUAAGCCUGCGAAGGUGGCCUGUGAGGGUUGCUGGAGGUAUCAGAAGUGCGAAUGCUGACAUAAGUAACGAUAAAGCGGGUGAAAAGCCCGCUCGCCGGAAGACCAAGGGUUCCUGUCCAACGUUAAUCGGGGCAGGGUGAGUCGACCCCUAAGGCGAGGCCGAAAGGCGUAGUCGAUGGGAAACGGGUUAAUAUUCCCGUACUUGGUGUUACUGCGAAGGGGGGACGGAGAAGGCUAUGUUGGCCGGGCGACGGUUGUCCCGGUUUAAGCGUGUAGGCUGGUUUUCCAGGCAAAUCCGGAAAAUCAAGGCUGAGGCGUGAUGACGAGGCACUACGGUGCUGAAGCAACAAAUGCCCUGCUUCCAGGAAAAGCCUCUAAGCAUCAGGUAACAUCAAAUCGUACCCCAAACCGACACAGGUGGUCAGGUAGAGAAUACCAAGGCGCUUGAGAGAACUCGGGUGAAGGAACUAGGCAAAAUGGUGCCGUAACUUCGGGAGAAGGCACGCUGACACGUAGGUGAAGUGAUUUACUCAUGGAGCUGAAGUCAGUCGAAGAUACCAGCUGGCUGCAACUGUUUAUUAAAAACACAGCACUGUGCAAACACGAAAGUGGACGUAUACGGUGUGACGCCUGCCCGGUGCCGGAAGGUUAAUUGAUGGGGUCAGCGCAAGCGAAGCUCCUGAUCGAAGCCCCGGUAAACGGCGGCCGUAACUAUAACGGUCCUAAGGUAGCGAAAUUCCUUGUCGGGUAAGUUCCGACCUGCACGAAUGGCGUAAUGAUGGCCAGGCUGUCUCCACCCGAGACUCAGUGAAAUUGAACUCGCUGUGAAGAUGCAGUGUACCCGCGGCAAGACGGAAAGACCCCGUGAACCUUUACUAUAGCUUGACACUGAACAUUGAGCCUUGAUGUGUAGGAUAGGUGGGAGGCUUUGAAGUGUGGACGCCAGUCUGCAUGGAGCCGACCUUGAAAUACCACCCUUUAAUGUUUGAUGUUCUAACGUGGACCCGUAAUCCGGGUUGCGGACAGUGUCUGGUGGGUAGUUUGACUGGGGCGGUCUCCUCCUAAAGAGUAACGGAGGAGCACGAAGGUUGGCUAAUCCUGGUCGGACAUCAGGAGGUUAGUGCAAUGGCAUAAGCCAGCUUGACUGCGAGCGUGACGGCGCGAGCAGGUGCGAAAGCAGGUCAUAGUGAUCCGGUGGUUCUGAAUGGAAGGGCCAUCGCUCAACGGAUAAAAGGUACUCCGGGGAUAACAGGCUGAUACCGCCCAAGAGUUCAUAUCGACGGCGGUGUUUGGCACCUCGAUGUCGGCUCAUCACAUCCUGGGGCUGAAGUAGGUCCCAAGGGUAUGGCUGUUCGCCAUUUAAAGUGGUACGCGAGCUGGGUUUAGAACGUCGUGAGACAGUUCGGUCCCUAUCUGCCGUGGGCGCUGGAGAACUGAGGGGGGCUGCUCCUAGUACGAGAGGACCGGAGUGGACGCAUCACUGGUGUUCGGGUUGUCAUGCCAAUGGCACUGCCCGGUAGCUAAAUGCGGAAGAGAUAAGUGCUGAAAGCAUCUAAGCACGAAACUUGCCCCGAGAUGAGUUCUCCCUGAGACUUUAGGUCUCCUGAAGGAACGUUGAAGACGACGACGUUGAUAGGCCGGGUGUGUAAGCGCAGCGAUGCGUUGAGCUAACCGGUACUAAUGAACCGUGAGGCUUAACCUUACAACGCCGAAG
rnacentral:rRNA from 1 species